rnacentral:rRNA from 1 species
UACGGAGGAUCCAAGCGUUAUCCGGAAUCAUUGGGUUUAAAGGGUCCGUAGGCGGUCAGGUAAGUCAGUGGUGAAAGCCCAUCGCUCAACGGUGGAACGGCCAUUGAUACUGCUUGACUUGAAUUACUAGGAAGUAACUAGAAUAUGUAGUGUAGCGGUGAAAUGCUUAGAUAUUACAUGGAAUACCAAUUGCGAAGGCAGGUUACUACUAGUGUAUUGACGCUGAUGGACGAAAGCGUGGGGAGCGAACAGG